AGUGAACGCUGGCGGUAGGCCUAACACAUGCAAGUCGAACGGCAGCACAGUAAGAGCUUGCUCUUACGGGUGGCGAGUGGCGGACGGGUGAGGAAUACAUCGGAACCUACUUUUUCGUGGGGGAUAACGUAGGGAAACUUACGCUAAUACCGCAUACGACCUACGGGUGAAAGCAGGGGAUCUUCGGACCUUGCGCGAUUGAAUGAGCCGAUGUCGGAUUAGCUAGUUGGCGGGGUAAAGGCCCACCAAGGCGACGAUCCGUAGCUGGUCUGAGAGGAUGAUCAGCCACACUGGAACUGAGACACGGUCCAGACUCCUACGGGAGGCAGCAGUGGGGAAUAUUGGACAAUGGGCGCAAGCCUGAUCCAGCCAUACCGCGUGGGUGAAGAAGGCCUUCGGGUUGUAAGGCCCUUUUGUUGGGAAAGAAAAGCAGCAGGUUAAUACCCCGCUGUUCUGACGGUACCCAAAGAAUAAGCACCGGCUAACUUCGUG
rnacentral:rRNA from 1 species